rnacentral:misc_RNA from 1 species
CUGAAUCUGAACCAAACUGUUUCUAAAUGGAGAUGAUGAUGUUAAAAUGGAACAAGCAGAGCAGAAGUGAUUGAUGAUCUAACAGACAUUGACAUCAGGCUACCAAUGCCUAGUCUUUCUGUGGGAGAUAGAAGCGGCCUGGUUAUGAGAAUGCUGGAGCCAAUCGAUUGCUUUGGUUAGGACCAGAGCAAUCAUGUCAUUCCUCCUCUAUCUUGAUUCUGACCACUACAUAAUCUACAACUCCAUGGCUCUGAGGGAAGAGCCACUAUAUUGGUGGGAAGGAAGCUAUAUAUAGGGUGUAUUUGGCGGUAAUGUCUCCUGUUGCAGAGCCCACCCUUGUUUAGAGCCAUUAUAUUGGUGGGAAGGAAGCUACUUUUCUUUGAACAAAUCUCCAAAAAUUUCAGACAAAGAUAAAGCCGGAAACAAGAAAGUUGUUGCAGAUAAAAUCUAACAAAAGAAAGAAAGAACAAUAUAGAAACGUAACUCUUCUUCUCCUUGUAAUUUGCUCACAACAAAACCUCUUCUUCUUCACAGCCACUUAAAGUGGCUUUCCACUUGUCUUGAUAUCAUUUCUGAUUGCUCCUUGAAUCAUCUUAACGAUCAAAUUCUGA